GGGCGGUUAGCUCAGCUGGUUAGAGCACACGCCUGAUAAGCGUGAGGUCCCGGGUUCGAGUCCCGGAUCGCCCACCA
rnacentral:tRNA from 11 species